rnacentral:rRNA from 1 species
AGAAUCAACGCUGGCGGCGUGCCUAACACAUGCAAGUCGAACGCGAAAGGGGCUUCGGCCCUGAGUAGAGUGGCGAACGGGUGAGUAACACGUGGGUGACCUGCCUUCGAGUGGGGGAUAACGUCCCGAAAGGGACGCUAAUACCGCAUAACAUCCUGUCCUUAGACGGACGGAGAUCAAAGCUAGGGAUCGCAAGACCUGGCGCUUAAAGAGGGGCCCGCGCCUGAUUAGCUAGUUGGUGAGGUAACGGCUACACCAAGGCAACGAUCA